rnacentral:rRNA from 1 species
GAUGAACGCUGGCGGCGUGCCUAAUACAUGCAAGUCGAGCGAACAGACGAGGAGCUUGCUCCUCUGACGUUAGCGGCGGACGGGUGAGUAACACGUGGAUAACCUACCUAUAAGACUGGGAUAACUUCGGGAAACCGGAGCUAAUACCGGAUAAUAUAUUGAACCGCAUGGUUCAAUAGUGAAAGACGGUUUUGCUGUCACUUAUAGAUGGAUCCGCGCCGCAUUAGCUAGUUGGUAAGGUAACGGCUUACCAAGGCGACGAUGCGUAGCCGACGUGAGAGGGUGAUCGGCCACACUGGAGCUGAGACACGGUCCAGACUCCUACGGGAGGCAGCAGUAGGGAAUCUUCCGCAAUGGGCGAAAGCAUGACGGAGCAACGCCGCGUGAGUGAUGAAGGUCUUCGGAUCGUAAAACUCUGUUAUUAGGGAAGAACAAAUGUGUAAGUAACUAUGCACGUCUUGACGGUACCUAAUCAGAAAGCCACGGCUAACUACGUG